GGCGAACGCUGGCGGCGUGCUUAACACAUGCAAGUCGAACGGAAAGGCCCUGCUUUUGUGGGGUGCUCGAGGGGCGAACGGGUGAGUAACACGUGAGUAACCUGCCCUUGACUUUGGGAUAACUUCAGGAAACUGGGGCUAAUACCGGAUAGGAGCUCCUGCUGCAUGGUGGGGGUUGGAAAGUUUCGGCGGUUGGGGAUGGACUCGCGGCUUAUCAGCUUGUUGGUGGGGGAGUGGCUUACCAAGGCUUUGACGGGUAGCCGGCCUGAGAGGGUGACCGGCCACAAUGGGACUGAGAUACGGACCAGACUCCUACGGUAGGCAGCAGGGGGGAAUAUUGCACAAUGGGCGGAAGCCUGAUGCAGCAACGCCGCGUGCGGGAUGACGGCCUUCGGGUUGUAAACCGCUUUCGCCUGUGACGAAGCGUGAGUGACGGUAAUGGGUAAAGAAGCACCGGCUAACUACGUG
rnacentral:rRNA from 1 species